rnacentral:rRNA from 1 species
AUGAACGCUAGCUACAGGCUUAACACAUGCCAGUCGCGGGGCAGCGGUAUCGAAAGCUUGCUUUCGGUAGCCGGCGACCGGCGCACGGGUGAGUAACGCGUAUCGAACCUGCCUCAUACUCGGGAAUAGCCUUGCGAAAGUAAGAUUAAUGCCCGGUGUUUUCAGAGUCCCGCAUGAGGCUUUGAACAAAGAUUUAUCGGUAUGAGAUGGCGAUGCGUCCCAUUAGCUUGUUGGCGGGGUAACGGCCCACCAAGGCAUCGAUGGGUAGGGGUUCUGAGAGGAAGGUCCCCCACAUUGGAACUGAGACACGGUCCAAACUCCUACGGGAGGCAGCAGUGAGGAAUAUUGGUCAAUGGGCGGAAGCCUGAACCAGCCAAGUAGCGUGCAGGAAGACGGCCCUCCGGGUUGUAAACUGCUUUUAGUUGGGAAUAAAACGGGGCUCGUGAGCCCCCUUGCAUGUACCAUCAGAAAAAGGACCGGCUAAUUCCGUG